GCCGGGCGUGGUGGUAUGUGCCUAUAGUCCCAGCUACUCAGGAGGCUGAGGUGGAAGAUCACUUGAGCCCAGGAUUUCUGGGCUGCAGAGCGCUAUGCUGAUCGGGUGUCCACACUAAGUUCGGCAUCAAUAUGGUGACCUCCCAGGAGCAGGGGACCACCAGGUUGCCUAAGGAGGGGUGAACCGGCCCAGGUUGGAAACAGAGCAGGUCAAAACUCCCAUGCUGAUCAGUAGUGGGAUCGCACCUGUGAAUAGCCACUGCACUCCAGCCUGGGCAGCAUAGGGAGACCCUGUCUCUG
ensembl:misc_RNA Metazoa_SRP Metazoan signal recognition particle RNA